rnacentral:rRNA from 1 species
GAUGAACGCUAGCGGCAGGCUUAACACAUGCAAGUCGAGGGGUAUUGGUUUUCGGACCAAGAGACCGGCGCACGGGUGCGUAACGCGUAUGCAAUCUACCUUUUGCAGAGGGAUAGCCCCAGAGAAAUUUGGAUUAAUACCUCAUAGUAUAGUACUUUGGCAUCAAGGAACUAUUAAAGUCACAACGGCAAAAGAUGAGCAUGCGUCCCAUUAGCUAGUUGGUAAGGUAACGGCUUACCAAGGCUACGAUGGGUAGGGGUCCUGAGAGGGAGAUCCCCCACACUGGUACUGAGACACGGACCAGACUCCUACGGGAGGCAGCAGUGAGGAAUAUUGGACAAUGGGCGCAAGCCUGAUCCAGCCAUGCCGCGUGCAGGAUGACGGUCCUAUGGAUUGUAAACUGCUUUAUACAGGAGAAACACUCCGACGUGUCGGAGCUUGACGGUACUGUAAGAAUAAGGAUCGGCUAACUCCGUGCCAGCAGCC